CAGCCGCCGCGGGAAUGUGUAGGGUGCGAGCGUUGUUCGGAAUUACUGGGCGUAAAGCGCACGUAGGCGGCUUGGUAAGUUAGAGGUGAAAGCCUGGAGCUCAACUCCAGAAUUGCCUUUAAGACUGCCGAGCUAGCAGGUGAGAGAGGUAAGUGGAAUUCCGAGUGUAGAGGUGAAAUUCGUAGAUAUCCGGAAGAACACCAGUGGCGAAGGCGGCUUACUGGCUCAUACUGGACGCUGAGGUGCGAAAGCGUGGGGAGCAAACAGGAUUAGAUACCCGUGUAGUCCCUGUCUCUUAUAC
rnacentral:rRNA from 1 species